rnacentral:rRNA from 1 species
GGAAUAUUGGGCAAUGGGCGCAAGCCUGACCCAGCAACGCCGCGUGAAGGAAGAAGGUUUUCGGAUCGUAAACUUCUGUCCUAUGUGAAGAGAGGUAGACGGUAGCAUAGGAGGAAGCCCCGGCUAACUACGUGCCAGCAGCCGCGGUAAUACGUAGGGGGCGAGCGUUGUCCGGAAUGAUUGGGCGUAAAGGGCGCGUAGGCGGCCAUUUAAGUCUGGAGUGAAAGUCCUGUUUUCAAGAUGGGAAUUGCUUUGGAUACUGGGUGGCUUGAGUGCAGGAGAGGUUAUCGGAAUUCCCGGUGUAGCGGUGAAAUGCGUAGAGAUCGGGAGGAACACCAGUGGCGAAGGCGGGUAACUGGACUGCAACUGACGCUGAGGCGCGAAAGUGUGGGGAGCAAACA